rnacentral:rRNA from 1 species
GACAGAGGUGCCGAGCGUUAGGCGGAAUCACUGGGCUUAAAGCGUGUGUAGGCGGGCCGUUAAGUGUCUUGUGAAAUCCCCCGGCUCAACCGGGGAAUUGCUGGGCAUACUGGCGGUCUUGAGCGAUCUAGGGGCAGAUGGAACAAGUGGUGGAGCGGUGAAAUGCGUAGAUAUCAUUUGGAACGCCAAUGGUGAAAACAGGCAGCUGGGGAAGUGCUGACGCUGAGACACGAAAGCCAGGGGAGCGAACGGG